UACGUAGGGUGCAAGCGUUGUCCGGAAUUAUUGGGCGUAAAGAGCUCGUAGGCGGUCUGUCGCGUCGGAUGUGAAAACCCAGGGCUCAACCCUGGGCCUGCAUUCGAUACGGGCAGACUAGAGUUCGGUAGGGGAGACUGGAAUUCCUGGUGUAGCGGUGAAAUGCGCAGAUAUCGGGAGGAACACCAGUGGCGAAGGCGGCGAUCUGGGAAGAUACUGACGCUGAGGUGCGAAAGCGUGGGGAGCAAACAGG
rnacentral:rRNA from 1 species